rnacentral:misc_RNA from 1 species
GUGCAGAACCCCCACUGUCCACUUGUCAGAUUCAUCGGUACUAGGCCCAAGGUGGGUUGCAUUCUCAUAUGGAGAAAUAUAAGGCAACUUUUGCCAAUCGUCAAACCAUUUCUUCAACUGCUUAUCCAUCUCAAAACCCUUCGAAAAAUGCAUAGGGAAAGCAAUAGGCAUCCCCUUUUUGUAAUCCAUUUUCCCUCUUGUUGCCUUCUUUUCUAUGAACGAAAUAGCGAAUUCAUUACUCCAACAAACUAGCUCCAAUUCCAAAUCUGAAUCCAACCCAGAUGACAAAUUCUUAUUACCAAUAACUCGAAAACAGUCAGGGAACUCAGGAACAAUACUCUUGGUAUAAUCUUCAGGUAAACCCAAAUCCCAUUUUAUAUCAUCCAGAAUCUUCAGUGGUAUUUUAUU